AUAUGUGUUAGUUUCACCGAUUAUAGUGGCAGGCUCGAUAAAUGAGAGUGGGGAUUGUGUAGCGCAUGGAAAAGAAAGGAAGAGGGGGAAUCGGCUCAUCGAAAGUCAGACUCCGUGUGGCUCGUGCAGGGGAAGAAGUUCGACAGGUCUGGAUUAGACGAUCAAGUUAACACAAUUCAGUAAACUAACGAAAAUAUUGUAUUUACAGUACGAAAAUAUUAUAUGUACAAUAUUUAAUAAUAAACCAUAGUGUGAAUAUAUCACGACUAACCGGUUGAUAAAGUGUUGAUGAGGAAAACAACUGAAUUCACUCACAAUCGAAAGUUCUGUGUUGUGAAACAUUAAUCAGUAGCGUGAUAAGGAUUAAAAAUCAAAUAAAUGGAAGAAAAAGAAGAAAAGUUUCCUGCUCAAUGGGCACUUGAUAUUCUUGAACCUACACCUGUCGAUCAAUCAAAUAGUAUUCUAAAAUAUUAUACAGUACCACCUGCUAUGAUAUGUGGACCACUUGGUGUAACAACUUAUAAUUAUGUUACAUCCAAACCCAUAUUUUGCAAUAAACUAUACAUGGUAAUAUCAGCCAUAAGCUUGGGUGUUGCUUCAUAUUGGUUACAGUGGUCCGCUGAGUUACAAUUUGCAAGAAAACAUGCAAUGAUGAGAGAUUAUAUAAUGCGUCAUCCAGAACAUUUUCCUGAACCAGAGAUACUUUUCAUAAAGAUGUCCAUUAUGUAAUGCUCCACGUGAAAUAUAGUCAAUUCUAUCUGAAAUAUUUUUUCAAACGAACAAUUUAAGAAAUAUACAUGUGGAGUAUAAGCAAAGCCAGAAAGAGAAAUACAUAUUUUCAAGAAAAUAAAGAUAUUAAACUAAAUGAAGAUAUUAAAUUAAAGCAUUUUCGAAUUUGUAAUUUUUUCGAGAUUUGUUAAUCUAAAAUACGUCGCAAAGUUUAUCUUUUAUCUUACAAUAAAAAUUCAAGAAAAAUUCUCAUUUAUACUGAAAACGUGAAUUGUGCAACUCAGAAAGUCGGAUUCAAAGUGAAAGAAAAAGUACACACGCGGCCAUGAUUGAACCAACAAACGUGGAAAUCACGCAUAACUGGACAUUUAAUUCGACGAGAGAAGAUUCGGACUCGAACACGUUGAAAUCUUGUACAGAUAGAUUGUCAGGAGAAAGUGGUAUUCCAGGAAGAUACGUACUUCGCUACAAUUUUAUAAUACCUGUAACCGUGAAACACGCAUUGUUUCGUUUACAAUAUAAAAAAUUUUUAAAACAAUUUCAUAGCAACAAGGUUUGACCAUACAAAGUACCAUUUAAAAAACGCAAAAUGAUUUCGAUUUUUUACGAAUAUAAAAUACUAUUUCAUAUCGUACUAGAUUUUUCAUUUACUACUAAUAAACUUUCGUUUGAAAUAUUUUCGUAUAAUUCGUAUUAAUUAAACACACGUACAAGAAUUUAUUAAUCGGUAGAGUUGUUUGUUAUUGGAGCAAGUCUCGCAUGUGCACAUAUGCCAAAAAGAUCGGUUUAGCAGCGAAGUGAAAAGUGAAGGUACUGCUCUGGCAAUGACGUUGUGGUAAAUCGUUCAGGUGCAACAUUUCCAUGGUACACGCAUUCAGACUUGAGCAUACGAUACACCAUAUACGUAAACAUCGAAACUUAUGUAAACAGCAGUGAAACCACCGACCAGGAACCUCAUUUAACGGCGCUUCUCUCGUAUCGGCAUGUCGGCUGGUUCUUCGCUUCCUCCGACUCCUUACUUUUUAUCCGUGUCAACUUUACUUACGACACGCACUAUAACAAUGCAAGGAACUUCCAACGUUUCAUGGAAGAAUCUUGUUUAUCGUGGAGAUCUUUAUUUUCACAGUGGACGCGCGUUUCACGAAUUCUUAAAAGAAAACUCUUCUAAAUUCUCUGGCGGGCAAAUUCAAUAUUUUACCAUUUUUAAUGUGUAUGUAUGUAUUGUAAAAUUUUAGUUCAUUUUCUACGAAUUAAUAAAAAAAAAAAAUCGAAGUAUUUAACGUAGUGAUGUAUUAUCGUGCACAGUAUUCCAGAACUUCUAACGAAAUUUUAUGGUGUAGUGUAUAUUUUUAAUCUUUUGUUGGGGCAAUUUUAAAAAAUUCUGAGGUACCAGAUGUAAUAAGAAAUCAUUGAAAUUUCUAUUAGAUCACAGUCUGUCGAUGGUUGAUCCUUGAAUAUACAGUAUUUUCAUGUGUAAUUUUAUUCGAUUUAUUGAUCUUAAGUAUUGCAUUAGAGGUACAAUUUAUUAACAACAAGAUAUUGUUUGAGUCAAUGGGUCAAGGCACAUCCUUUGAUGUUUCUUGCAUUCGAUUAGCAGAAGAAUUAAUCGAUCAGCUUGCAAUGUUAUAUCACGAUCUACUUAUUUUCUUAAUUAACAUACUGUUAAAUAAUUAUUAAAGAAAGAGGGGGAGAGAAAGAGAAUUGCAACUUUCAUUCAAUAAGGUUAUUUACGGAGCAGUUGCAAAUUAUUGAGAGAAUGUCCACAGAAGGUCAUUCUUCCACCUACAUUUCUAAUAAAUCUAAACUGCUAUUUGAUUGAUUAUAUCUAAGUGCAAAGUAUUUAAUAGAGUUGACGACGAACAAAAUAAUAAAAAUCUUAAAUUAUUACCAUAUUUUUCAACACAAAAGAAAAAGAAUUAAAAGAUGUAUAUAGAUAAUCAAAGCUUCAACUCGGAAAGAACAUUUCAUUUAUCAACUGAAGAGCUAAA